GGUGAUUAAUAAUUCCUUGAGAUAGCUAACUUCCCCAAUGCGCCUUGGUGAGGCAUACAGACAUCACUGUCUCAUUGGGUGUCUGAGGCUGCAUCACAGUCAGCAUUGUGAAGAUUUGCUCUGCAAAGGCAGUCAGCUGCCUCUGAAAGUCAACACCUGUGUUUGCGUAGCUGAAUUUGGACUAUGCUGCCUGUGUUGACCAGAGGCUCAGCUAAUGCUAAGUGCUGAUUGACCUUUGAGGUAGCAUCUGUUGGCCAACACGUCCAUGUGGGAUCAGAUGUCAUGACACAAAACCAGUUUAUUCCUGUGCCCUAAAGCCAGCAGAAAGGCCCAGCCAGCAUCUUACAAAGCUUUUAGGCAGCAAAUGUGUUUUCAUUCAUUAACAUGGGAACUUAGACAUGUAUCCCACCUGCAGACACCUAGAUGUAGAAAAUGUGUGAACAGAAAGAAACACCUGGCUUACUCAAAUCAGAAAGAAGAAGAAUGGAAUGGGUCCCUUUGCUGCUAGAUAUGGAAGCUGCUUCCUGCAAUAGCAUGAGGUAUCUUCAGCUAAGCUGUUAUAAAGUUGCAAGAUGGUGUAAAUCUUCUAAGCACUGCUCACAACCAUCUGCUUGCUUCAUUAUGAGCCUGUCCUCGAGUUCACAAGGCUGCUGCGUAUUGAUGGGUGUGUAUUUUGGAAAGGUAGCAUGAACAAACAGCCAGUGGAUCAAUGCGAGCUGGUGCAAACUUGCUGAGAUAAAAUACUGGCUUCAUUUGUUAAACUUUAAUGACCAACCUGCCUGACAAAGCCAAGACUGCAAUAACUCCCAUCUCUCCAGGCAUGUUUAGCUAUUGGGUAAUUACAUUUGAAGCUUACUGAACGUUGCUUCUUUCAAAAUGUUUUCUUGCUGCUGAGUUAAAAACACAUGUAAUUAAACCUCAGAGGAACGCACCCCAAAUUUAUGGUCUGGUUUGGAUGACAGCACGCCGGGCUUUGUGGUACCAGCGAUAGCUGCUGCCCACCAGGAGAUGCAAACCCACGUGCAUGCAUCCUUUGGGAACGCAGCAACGAAGGAAGACUGCAGCCUAAUCAGAGCAGCUAUUAAAGCAGGAAAAGAUGCAUAUGUCGUCUUGUCUGUGGCACAUACCAUGCUCGGUUACCAUAGCAAUGGACAUUAUAGGUAGCUUCAGAGGAGGGAGAGAGUGAUUAGCAGACAGAUAUGGGAGAAGACUGUACCGUAGCCUUUGCAGUCAGAGUAUUUUCAUUAAGAUUAGAAGAAAUGAGAUCUAGAUAUUAGGGAGUAGAUAUUUUCAUUCUUUUCCUAAUCUAACUUUAAAAGUAUCAGCAACAAGGACAUCCCUCGCUUCCUUCAGCAAGCAAUUCCAGAGAUGAAAGUCUUCGCUUUUAAGAAGCUUUUCCUGCUAUCUGGCCUCCUGUUUUCUUUAUUUCCCACUAUUUAGUGUUUAACCUUCUCAAGUGACAAGCGAAAG
rnacentral:lncRNA from 1 species